AAGACUGUUUGACCAAGCUGGAUUCCUUGUCUAUGUGCCUGGGCAAGGCAUGGUUUCCCAUAUGUGUUCCUUCCUGCUGUGUUUUAUUGCUUGGGGUGCCCAUCUUCCGCUCUUGGGAGAUACAUUAGUAAUCCGUGUUCCAGAGGUUUACUUUCAAAGUUUUCAAUGACCUGUGGUUAAGUGAGAUCCCAGAAUAUGAAACGGAAAAUUACAGUAAAAAAAAAAUUCUAAGUUUGGAAUUGCGUGCUGUUCUGUGUAGUGUGAUGAAAUCUUUUACCACACCAACCAGGACAUGAAUCACCCCAUAGCCUAGCACAGCAUGCUGCAUGCGUCACAGAGCUGUUAGUCACUCCCUAGCUGUCUCCUUCGUCAGACCAACUGUUGCAUAUCACAGUGCUGUGGAGCUGGUGAUUCAGGUAUGUCCUCCCAAGGGACAAAGAGUGAGUUGGGGGUAUCAGUCAUGUGCCGCACAAACACCCCACUUCUUUCUUCCAUCCAGCACAUGGUAGGUACUCCUCAAGCCCUUUUAAAGUUUUGGCACGGACAAGGGAAUGUAAGCAAAAGUGAUACAUUACUUCCAGGAGGAAGCAUGAUUUUCUACCUCCUUUCCCCACUGCUGCAGAAACAGAAGCACCCAUUGAACACCAGUCUCUGAAUAAAGGAAUCUGUUUGCAGAGCCCCCUGCUGGCCGGUGGUGGACACACAGUACAAAAGAGAAAUCACCACACUGCUUUACAUUUCUGAGCAGGCUUGUUACUGCAGCAUGACACAACCUCUUCUGGCUAAAUAAAUAAUCUGGUCCUCAACGCCUUUGUCUGGCACAGCAGCUCUCUGAGAGAGAGGAGAGGAAUACAUUGUUCCCAUUUGUAAGGUGAAGAAACUGGCACCAAGAGAAUGAGACAGAGGCCGAAUGAAGACACUGUGGCCAGCAACUUAUGCUCACUGUCAGAGGAGAACAGCUGCUCCAAGCAGGAAAGCUGGUCAGAGACUAGUGACUUCCUCACCUGGUGAAGGUCAUUUGAUGACUCAGUAUCAAAGUCAGCACUAAAAUGAAAACAACAAUAACAAGAAAAGGUAACAAUUGUUGGCAAGAGCCCUGUGUGUUACUGACAGAAAGUUAGAUGGUACAGCCCCUGAGGAUAAACGGUAAGGUGGUACCUCAAAAAAUUAAACGUGACUUACCUGAAGAUACAGAAACUUCAUUCCCACCUGCCAGCGGGUCCAGAGGAACCAGAGAAGAUAUUUGUAAACCUACAUUGUUAACAACGUUAUUUACAUUAUCUAGAAGGCAGAAGCAACCCUUGUCCAUAAUAGGCAAACGGACACACCACAUGGCAUGUACACCUCCCAGGGAAUCUCAUUUCAUUGUUGAAGGAAGAAAAUGCCAGGGCACCCUGCAGCAGAAGGAACAUGGAGGACACUGGGGAGGGGCCAGCUGGACCAGGAUGAGACUCUACUUUGAAAGAAAUGCCACAGAGCUUCUAGAUAUCAAUCACAUACAAGAGGCAGCUGAGGGGUGAGUUCAGCUAAAUAUCCCAUUAAGUUGCCUGUGGUCUUCCCCUCCGCUGAGGAGGAGGGGAAAAAAGCAUUGGGGGGAGAGCACUGGCACUUCAGUAAUCCCUACAAAACUUGGACCUCCCGUGUAGUGCUGGGUGUAGGUAAGGCACAGGAUAACUGGUAUGGAAAGCAGUAUGACAGAGCCUGAAAAUUCUAAACACAGGACUGACAAGUGCUCUGGUGGUCUACCUCUGGGUUUCUAACCCAGACAAUCAAGAGCAGAGAUUCUGGAGGGCAGUCUCUGCACACGUGUUUAUAAUAACACCGUUCGCAAUCGGCCAAAGUUAGAGACAACAGGACAUCCAUGGAUUUAAUGACAUCACCUUGGCCAAGAUUCAGGAAUUCGGGACUCCAAGUUAUCCUGAACAGUCUAAAACCGAAAAUGGAAAGAUGAUUUUGCUUUGAGUCCAUGUGAACUCUGUGGAUGAGGGGAUGGACGCGGAGAACAUCUAUUCUGAGUAGAUGAGUUAAACAUAAAACUCUCAACACCAGUGAGGAAAUCAGAUUCCACGUUCACUUAAACUGUCCGCAGAGACCUUCAUUUUACAAACAAGAAACCCAGUGAAGGAAAGUCUGGCCUGGCAUUCCUUUCAUUUGCAGAUGUUGUGUAUCCUCAUUAUUCAUUGUAAACAGAGAAGGCUCCGUGCCACCUCAGUCAUACUGCAGGAGGAUGUUUUCACCAGCUCAGAAAAGGGGGGAAUGGGUGUAAAAAUAUUUAUGCUGCAUUUUCCAGGACUGUGUUUGAUUUCCUUUUUGGUUUGUUUAUUUUGUGGAAUGAGAGGGAUGGUGCAUCUUAUUUUUACAAGCUUGUAUUGUUACCCCAGGAAUGUUUUGGCAGAUGCAAAAUUAAAAACAAACUUCAUGUUUUCUUCAGUGCCCUUCAGGGCCCGAAAGGACAGGAACAAAGUAUCGUGGUUUGUCAUCAGAGCGCCAGGAAGCCACAAGGAAACGGAGUUUAUGAACCAAAUUGCUCAAAACGGGAAAGAAAUGAAAAAUGUGCAGCAGAUGCUCCCAGACUGGAGAACAAGCCAGAGGAAGGCCCACAGCAAAGCUUAUUGGCCUUCAACAAUAGCUGUUUGCACGCACAUGCGCGCGCAUGCGCACACACACACACACACACACACACACACACACACACACACCAAUUCUCUUCUAUAGUCAUUUCCCUGGGAUUUGAAAUUGAUAACUGUGGACACAAAGACACACUUGGCCUAAUUUGUCAGGCUAUUUGGAGUCAUGGGUGUCACCCUGCAUGUCUGGUAUGUGUACAGAUGGCUCCUGCUGGCUUCAAUAAAAUUGGAAAGCAGAAAGUC